CCUACGGGAGGCAGCAGCAAGGAAUAUUGGGCAAUGGGCGAAAGCCUGACCCAGCGACGCCGCGUGGGGGAAGAAGGCCUUCGGGUUGUAAACCCCUUUUCUCAGGGAAGAAUCAUGACGGUACCUGAGGAAUAAGUCUCGGCUAACUACGUGCCAGCAGCCGCGGUAAUACGUAGGAGGCAAGCGUUAUUCGGAUUUACUGGGCGUAAAGAGCGCGCGGGCGGCCCUUCAAGUUGGAUGUAAAAUCUCCCGGCUUAACUGGGAGGGACCGUUCAAUACUGUCGGGCUAGAGGGCAGCAGAGGGAAGUGGAAUCCCCGGUGUAGGGGUGAAAUGCGUAGAUAUCGGGAGGAACACCAGUGGCGAGGGCGGCUUUCGGGGCUGUACCUGACGCUGAGGCGCGAAGGCGGGGGGAGCAAACAGGAUUAGAUCCCCUGGUAGU
rnacentral:rRNA from 1 species